CAGUCGACGAUGAUGCCCAGCUUGCUGGGUGGAUUAGUGGCGAACGGGUGAGUAACACGUGAGUAACCUGCCCCUGACUCUGGGAUAAGCGUUGGAAACGACGUCUAAUACUGGAUACGACUGCCGGCCGCAUGGUCUGGUGGUGGAAAGAUUUUUUGGUUGGGGAUGGACUCGCGGCCUAUCAGCUUGUUGGUGAGGUAAUGGCUCACCAAGGCGACGACGGGUAGCCGGCCUGAGAGGGUGACCGGCCACACUGGGACUGAGACACGGCCCAGACUCCUACGGGAGGCAGCAGUGGGGAAUAUUGCACAAUGGGCGAAAGCCUGAUGCAGCAACGCCGCGUGAGGGAUGACGGCCUUCGGGUUGUAAACCUCUUUUAGUAGGGAAGAAGCGAAAGUGACGGUACCUGCAGAAAAAGCACCGGCUAACUACGUGCCAGCAGCCGCGGUAAUACGUAGGGUGCAAGCGUUGUCCGGAAUUAUUGGGCGUAAAGAGCUCGUAGGCGGUUUGUCGCGUCUGCUGUGAAAUCCCGAGGCUCAACCUCGGGCUUGCAGUGGGUACGGGCAGACUAGAGUGCGGUAGGGGAGAUUGGAAUUCCUGGUGUAGCGGUGGAAUGCGCAGAUAUCAGGAGGAACACCGAUGGCGAAGGCAGAUCUCUGGGCCGUAACUGACGCUGAGGAGCGAAAGCGUGGGGAGCGAACAGGAUUAGAUACCCUGGUAGUCCACGCCGUAAACGUUGGGCGCUAGAUGUAGGGACCUUUCCACGGUUUCUGUGUCGUA
rnacentral:rRNA from 1 species